AGCAGAAUUGCUGGAUCAAAUGGUAAGAAUUUCAUUUUGGAAAAAAUUGCCAAACUGUCUCCAAAGUGGCUGUACCAUUUUGCAUGCUCACCAGCAAU
rnacentral:pre_miRNA from 1 species